UACGAAGGAGGCUAGCGUUGCUCGGAAUUACUGGGCGUAAAGGGCGCGUAGGCGGACAGCUUAGUCAGAGGUGAAAGCCCAGGGCUCAACCUUGGAAUAGCCUUUGAUACUGGCUGUCUUGAGUUCGGGAGAGGUGAGUGGAAUGCCGAGUGUAGAGGUGAAAUUCGUAGAUAUUCGGCGGAACACCAGUGGCGAAGGCGACUCACUGGCCCGAUACUGACGCUGAGGCGCGAAAGCGUGGGGAGCAAACAGG
rnacentral:rRNA from 1 species